rnacentral:tRNA from 1 species
UCCCCUGUAGCUCAGUUGGUAGAGCAUGGUGUUUGCAACGCCAGGGUUGUGGGUUCGAUUCCCACGGGGGGCC